rnacentral:rRNA from 1 species
GACGAACGCUGGCGGCGUGCUUAACACAUGCAAGUCGAACGCAGUGGCGAACGGGUGAGUAAUACGUGGGUAACCUGCCCUCCUUUUUGGGAUAAGCCUUGGAAACGGGGUCUAAUACCGAAUCUAGGGGGAUGGGCUCGCGGCCUAUCAGCUUGUUGGUGGGGUGAUGGACUACCACGGCGGUGACGGGUCACCGGCCUGAGAGGGUGACCGGGCACAUGAGGACUGAGAUACGGCCCAGAGUCCUACGGGAGGGGGCAGUGGGGGAUAUUGCACAAUGGGCGAAAGCCUGAUGCAGGGGCGCCGCGUGGGGGAUGAAGGCUUUCGGGUUGGUAACCUCUUUCGGUAUCGGACGGGUAGGUGGAGAAGAAGGGACGGCUAACUACGUGCCAGCAGCCGCGGUAAUUC